rnacentral:rRNA from 1 species
GACGAACCGUGCGAACGUUAUUCGGAAUCACUGGGCUUAAAGCGCGUGUAGGCGGGCCGGCACGUCGGUCGCUGAAAUCCCCCGGCUCAACCGGGGAAGUGGCGCCGAUACGACCGGCCUGGAGGGGGGUAGGGGGCGCUGGAACUCACGGUGGAGCGGUGAAAUGCGUUGAGAUCGUGAGGAACGCCCGCGGCGAAAGCGAGCGCCUGGACCCUUUCUGACGCUGAGACGCGAAAGCCAGGGGAGCGAACGGGAUUAGAUACCCCGGUAGUCCUGGCCGUAAACGAUGGGCACUGGGUAGGGGGCUCGCCGAUGGGCUCCCUGCCGCAGGGAAACCGUGAAGUGCCCCGCCUGGGGAGUAUGGUCGCAAGGCUGAA